AAAAAACAUGUUGACCAAGGUGGAAUUGAACCCACGACCUUUGGGUUGCAGACCUGAGUCAUUACAAACUGUGCCACUGGGAAAGAGAGCGAGCGUCUGGAAAACAGGGUGAUGAGCAGUCAGAAUUAGAUCACGGUGACAGGCAAAGAGCGCCGUUUUUUGGAGUUACAAAAUGUCGUGUAACUCAAAAACUAGGUGGACUAGAAGCAUAAUUCUUGUACUGGGUGAAUCAGCGGACUUUCGUGUAUUUUGACUGUGAUUUGCAUUGCUCUUUGUACAUCUGUCGCUGAGAUAUGACGAGAGAAGAAAGGGCAGACCUCAGAUAUGAUUGGCUGGCUGGGAAGCCGUGCAGGCCCUGAUAUGUAAAUUUUAUAUGUAUCAGUCCUCACAGAGGAUUAGCUGCCUGGGGACCUGGCAGAAAUAUAUACAAAUAGUAUGAUUAAGCAUAAAUACUACAUUUAGUAGAAAUACUAUGUUUUAGCACAAAUACUAUAAAAUGGCAGAAAUACUAUAUUUGGCAGAAACACUAUAUUUAGUACAAAUCUUAUGAAAUAGCAGAAAUAGUAUGAUUUAGCAGAAAUGCUGUAUUUAGCACAAAUACUGAAAAGCAGCAGAAAUGCUAUGAUUUAGCACAACAGUAAUAACUUAUAGAAAAAUUGGAAAAGCAAAAUGGACAGCUGGAAAAAUCCUGAACAUGCUAAGGGUCCCUCAAAUCUAAUUGUUAAUUGAAAAAAAAAAAAAUCAGCAAAAAAAAUAUAACAGUCACACAAUCACAAAUAUGGGCACAUAUUGAAACACACAUGCACAGAGAGACACACACAGGACCAAAUUCAGUCAACCAGUCUAAAUAUAUUGAAUUUAAAUGAUAUAAUAAGAUUCUCCCAUCAAAAGGCUCUCUCUCGCUCUCUCUCUCUCUCUCUCUCACACACACACACACACACACACACACACACACACACACACACACACACACAGAGCCUAAAGGGAACAGUAUUUGUGCCAUGGAGUGUUAACAAGAAUCUGAGGUCCAUAUUACAAAAGCUGCUAAAAUCAUAAAAGGUUGCAGAAUUGUAAUAAAUGAUGAAUAUGAAUUAGUGGUCUGUGAUAGUGUAUUAAUUUGUAGGGAAAAAACACAUGUUGCCCAAGGUGUAAUUGAACCCACGACCUUUGGGUUGCAGACCUGUGUCAUUACCAACUGCGCCACUGGGAAAGAGAGCGAGCGCCUGGAAAACAGGGUGAUGAGCAGUCAGAAUCAGAUUGCGGUGAGAGGCGAAAAACGCCGUUUUUUGCAGUUACAAAACGUCGUGUAACUCAAAAACUAGGUGGACUAGAAGCAUAAUUCUUGUACUGGGUGAAUCAGCGGACUUUGGUGUACUUUGACUGUGAUUUGCAUUGCUCUUUGUACAUCUGUCGCUGAGAUAUGACGAGAG
ensembl:lncRNA